CCCUUUUCCCGUGCAUAUGCAUCAGACUCGGAUGACGAUGGUCCCGAUGAACAAGUUGAUGCGGAGGGGUUCACGGUGAAGGAGGCCGAAGCUUUCGAGAAGGUAUUUGGUUGGGAUCAUUGGACUACAUUGUUCAAGGAUGUUAGUCUCGCGGAUGAAGCCGUGGUAGAUGGUGGCCAAUGUGAACCUCUUGGGGUUAGGCCAAGCUCUCAC
rnacentral:rRNA from 1 species